GACGAACGCUGGCGGCGUGCUUAACACAUGCAAGUCGAACGGAAAGGCCCUGCUUUUGUGGGGUGCUCGAGUGGCGAACGGGUGAGUAACACGUGAGUAACCUGCCCUUGACUUUGUGAUAACUGCAGGCAACUGGGGCUAAUACCGGAGAGGAGCUCCUGCUGCAUGGUGGGGGUUGGACAUCUUCGGCGGUAGUGGAUGGAGUCUGGGGUAAUCAGCUUGUUGGUGGGGUAGUGGCUUACCAAGGCUUUGACGGAUAGCCGGCAUGGGAGGUGGGACGGCGACCAGAGGACUACGAGACGGAGCAGUCUGCAAUGGGAGGCAGCAGGGGGGAACAUUGUACAAUGGGGGGACGCCUGAUGCAGCGACGCCGCGUGCGGGAAGACGGCUUUCGUGUGGUAAACCGCUUUCGCCUGUGACGAAGCGGGAGUGACGGUAAUGGGUAAAGAAGCACCGGCUAACUACGUG
rnacentral:rRNA from 1 species